UAAUAUCUAUGUGCACGUAGAAAAUCAUUUCUUUAUAAAUAUUUUUGAUAGUUUGUAGAUACGUCAUUAGUAAAUUCGGUAAUUUUAAUUUCUAGAGAAAUCACAGAAACACAGUGAAGCUAAUUAAAUAUAAUAACCAGUGAAUAUAUGUUUGCUUAUUUAAUAGAAAGAAACAACUUUUCUGAAAUCGUAUAUACGUACUAUAUAUAUUUGUAUUGCUGAGCAAAUUGCAGCGUGAUGGCCAUUUUAGUGUGUGAUCAUAAUAAUGAGACGUGUUUAAUAUUAAUCCACAAUUAUUGUUUGAUCGCUAAGGAAACUUCGAAGCAUUAGGUGGAUAUCACAGACGAUGAAUCUGAAAGCUUUCCAUGGACAUUUGGAUUUAGGUGAUUUUACCUAGAGAGGCAGAGCCAAUCAUAAUGAAAGGACCCAAGCAAGACAAGUCAAACAGCACUGGAAAUAGUAAAUUGCCUAUGACCGCCCCGAUUCUGCCUACCAUCAUAGUUAGACUAACUGCCAUAGUCCUGAAGAAAAGGAAAUUAUCAACGAUUACGUUUACGACACAGGCACCACCUAUACUAGACAUGGCUACAAAAACUGAGCACAAACCAAG
rnacentral:lncRNA from 1 species